AACGAACGCUGGCGGCAUGCCUAACACAUGCAAGUCGAACGAGACCUUCGGGUCUAGUGGCGCCCGGGUGCGUAACGCGUGGGAAUCUGCCCUUGGGUUCGGAAUAACUGUUGGAAACGACUGCUAAUACCGGAUGAUGACGUAAGUCAAAAGAUUUAUCGCACAAGGAUGAGCCCGCGUAGGAGUAGCUAGUUGGUGAGGUAAAGGCUCACCAAGGCGACGAUCCUUAGCGGGUCUGAGAGGAAGAACAGACACACUGGGACUGAGACACGGCCCACACUUUCGCGGGGGGGAGCAGAGGGGAAUAGUGGAAAAUGCGCGAAAGUCAGACCGCCCAAUGCCGUGUGAGAAAUAAAGGCAAUAGGUUGGUAAAGCCCUUUUACACGGGAUGAUAAGGACAGAACCGAAAGAAUAAGCCCGGCCUACCUCCUU
rnacentral:rRNA from 1 species